rnacentral:sRNA from 1 species
GUUUGCACUCAUCGGGGAAGGGUGAGAACCUUCGACUAAGGUUCGAUUCGAGCGAAAGCGAGAGAACGUUGCCACAGGCAACGGCCCGAAGGGUGAGGAGCGAAGCGACGAAUAAUCCUUCCCCCCCCACCA